rnacentral:rRNA from 1 species
UACGUAGGGCGCAAGCGUUGUCCGGAUUUAUUGGGCGUAAAGAGCUCGUAGGCGGUCUGUCGCGUCGGAUGUGAAAACCCGGAGCUCAACUCCGGGCCUGCAUUCGAUACGGGCAGACUUGAGUACUGCAGGGGAGACUGGAAUUCCUGGUGUAGCGGUGGAAUGCGCAGAUAUCAGGAGGAACACCGGUGGCGAAGGCGGGUCUCUGGGCAGAAACUGACACUGAGGAGCGAAAGCGUGGGGAGCGAACAGG